GUGCUCACUUUGGCAGCACAUAUACCAAAAUUGGAACGAUACAGAAAAAAUCAGCUUGGCCCUGCACAAGGAUGACAUGAAAGUCUGUGAAGCUUUCUGUAUUUUU
rnacentral:snRNA from 1 species